GACGAACCGUGCGAACGUUAUUCGGAAUCAUUGGGCUUAAAGGGCGCGUAGGCGGCGGCGAAGUUGGAAGUGAAAUCCCAUCGGCUCAACCGUGGAAUUGCUCCCAGUACUGCGUCGCUCGAGGGGGAUAGGGGUCUGCGGAACUACCGGUGGAGCGGUGAAAUGUGUUGAUAUCGGUGGGAACGCCAGUGGCGAAAGCGGCAGACUGGACCCUUCCUGACGCUGAUGCGCGAAAGCUAGGGGAGCAAACGGG
rnacentral:rRNA from 1 species